GGCCGACUAGCUCAGUUGGUUAGAGCGUGGUGCUAAUACAUGUAUCUGUUACGCCAAGGUCGUCGGUUCGACCCCGGCGUUGGCCA